rfam:Hordeum vulgare subsp. vulgare, WGS project CAJW01000000 data, contig: morex_contig_137005
AUAGUACUCCCUCCGUUUCAUUUCUUUUGUCUUAGGUUUGUUUAAAAAUGAAUGUAUCAAAAUACUAACAUGACUAGAUACAUUCAUAUCUAGAUAAAUUUAAGACAAGAAUUUUGAGACGGAAGAAUUACUAC